AUGGCGAGCAAUUUACAGAACAAAAGUCCACUCACAAGGGAGUUUCGACUCGAGUUCUUACAAAGUAUUACGAAUAAUUUUUCUGACGACCGUAUAAUUGGCAAGGGUGGGUUUGGAGUAGUUUACAAGGGAGUAUUGAACAAUGGGGAAGAGAUUGCCCUGAAGAAGCUUAAUCACACAGGGCUUGACGACAAGGAAUUUACAAAUGAGUUCAAUAACAUUAUUAGGGCUCAUCAUCAAAACAUUGUACAGUUUGCUGGCUAUUGCUACCAUCCAGGUACUAGCUGGAUAAUGCACGAUGGACAAUAUAUCUUUGCUCAUGAGCCAAUAAGAAUUCUUUGCUUUGAAUAUUUGCACGGUGGAAACCUUGAGAGUCUCCUUUCUGAUGAGCAGCCAUGCAGACCUGAUUGGCAGACAUGUUACAAAAUAAUUAAGGGAGUCAGUCAGGGUUUGAAUUAUCUUCAUAAUGCACAUGAAGAAUCUAUUUAUCAUCUAGACUUAAAGCCGGCCAAUGUAUUGCUGGACAAGAAUAUGAUUCCGAAAAUUGGAGAUUUUGGUAUAUCAAGAAUCUUCUCAUUAACAAAAACCAUUACCACUGCAACACGAAUGAUGGGGACACUGGGAUACAUGCCACCAGAAUAUAUCAACAAACAAGAAAUCUCACCAAAAUAUGACGUGUUCAGUUUGGGUGCCGUAGUCAUACAAAUAAUGGCUGGACGCCAGAGGUACCGCGAUUGUGGAAGUAUUUCAAAUGAGAAAAUCAUUGAGCUUGUAUGUGAGAAAUGGCGAAAGCUACAUCCAACAAUGUCGUCACACACAUGGCUAGAAAUCCAGACAUGCAUCGAAAUAGCAUUAAGAUGUUUGGAGGAUGACCAAGAUAAACGACCGACUAUAAAAGAGAUUGUCGGUGAACUUAAUAGGAUUGGUAUUGAAACGCUGUCACUUUCAAACGAGGCUACAAACUUACAAAGUAGGGAGGCCUUGGCCUAUAACCACCACAACAACUCAGCUUCUAUCGGGGUACAUGAAAACAACAAUUGGUUCGAAUCCCGUGCCGAGCCCAUGGAUUGUGAACAUGAGUCCAUCAUGAGGAACCCCAAGAUCCAUGCUAUUGGAGGGCGUGAAGAUGUGACCAGGGCCGAUAAUUGCGAUGGCUUCCAGAACUCGAAUAUCAGGGAGAAAGGAAGUGUUCAUACUUCUGCCAUCAUCAUGGAUAUAAUGAACAACAAUACUUCAGUUGGCACUCUUGAGGAAAGGUAUCAAAAUGAUCUACUUCAGUUGCAAAGUGGCUUGGAAUUCCUGAGUGAUACUCUUCCUGCAAAGCAUGACCUCAUCGAUCGAGCAGAGUGGAGAAGCCACAAGGAUAGUGUGGCGAUCCUCCUUCCAAAGCUCAAGGAUGCAGUCUACGAUGCUGAAGACCUUCUUGAUGAUCUCAGAUGGUACAGCCAUAAGGUGAUAGUGGAAGGCAAUGCGAACAAAUUAUCUAUUACUGGCUUCUUUAGUAGCUUCAGCAAAGUGAAUGAUAUCGAUAAAAGGUUGGUUAAUAUUUCCGAAUGCCUAGAGAAAAUGGGGUUGGGUGAAGCGACACCACGGUUUGACAAAUCAGUCAGGCCAGAGACUACCUCAUUUUGCAAUGAAACAAAAAUAUUUGGUCGUGAUGUGCUGCUAAAGAAGAUGAUGAGAUUGCUCAAUGUGCCUACAAAUAGUAGCGCUGGUUCAAAACGCAAGUGGAAACCUAGUGCAGAUGGUGCGUCAACAAGCAAUCAAGUUAGUAAUGAAUCAAGAUUAGCUGAUCUUCCAGUUUUACCAUUAGUUGGAAUCGGGGGUGUUGGAAAGACCACUUUGGCCCAGCAUAUCUGUAGUCAUCCACUAGUGAAGUCUCACUUCAAAAUAAUAAUUUGGAUUUGUGUUUCGGAUGAUUUUGAUGUGAAGAGGUUAACAAAAGAGGCUAUAGAAUCCUGUACAGGUAAAAAGACAAAAACUGACAAUCUAAAUUCUCUUCAGAUUGUUCUUUCUGGCACACUGAGCAAUGAAAGGUUCUUGAUUGUCCUCGAUGAUAUGUGGGAUAAUGCUCUGAAGGAAGAUGGCAUGUGCUGGAAAAAGUUUUGUGCACCAUUAAAAAAUGUGCUACAAGGAAGUAUGAUGUUGGUCACCACUAGAUCACAAAAGGUUUCUGAGUUAGUGCACACUAUGGAACCUAUUAUAUUGGAAGGAUUAAAGGAUGAUGUCUUCUGGAAUUUCUUCAAACUAUGUGUGUUUGGGUCUGAGAGUUCGAAUGAUUUUCCAGAUUUGGAAGACAUUGGUAGAGAGAUACUUCCAAAGUUGAAGGGCUCUCCUUUAGCUGCUAAAACUCUUGGACGCAUGCUACAGAGUGACCUUCAUACAUCACACUGGAAUAGUAUACUAGACAGUGAAUUGUGGGCGUUGGACCAAGAGGCAACUGAUAUUGUGCCAGCUCUUCGAUUGAGCUACAUGUAUUUACCGUUCCACUUGAAGAAAUGUUUCUCAUUUUGUGCUGUGUACCCCAAAGAUAAGCAGUUUGAAAAGGACAGCUUAGCUGAAAUUUGGGCGGCAGAAGGCUUUGUGAAACGCCAGGGUGUUAUUCCCGUUCAAGAUAUUGGAUGUCAAUACUUCAAUGACCUUUUAAAUCGGCCAUUCUUUCAAAAAGUUCAAGGUAAAUACGUAAUCCAUGACUUGUUGCAUGAUAUGGCACAGAAAGUUUCAGAGGAUGAUUGUUACAUUGUGAAGAAGAAGGAUGACUUUAGAAGAAUUCCUCCAAAUGUCCGCCAUCUGUCAAUACUAUCUAGCAAUGACAUCGACAAUUCUGACUUGUCGAUCCUCUGCCGGUAG
rnacentral:rRNA from 1 species